rnacentral:sRNA from 1 species
AAAGUCACACAGCUCCUAAGUGGUAGAGUUGGAUUUCCAACUCUAGCACAUCUCACUUGGGAGCCUGCAUUCCAUGCCUCUGCCAGUCUGUUUUGGGUUACUGAGCCUCUACCAUAUGCCAGGCACCCCCCAGGACACAGAGAGGUGUCUGACCUGGAAGUUUGCAGACCUGACAGACGCUGCUGCCCGCAACGCGGAGCUGCUCCGCCAGGCCAAGCACGAAGCCAACGACUACCGGCGUCAGUUGCAGUCCUUGACCUGCGACCUGGAGUCUCUGCGCGGCACGAACGAGUCCCUGGAGAGGCAGAUGCGCGAGCAGGAGGAGCGCCACGUGCGGGAGGCGGCCAGUUAUCAGGAGGCGCUGGCGCGGCUGGAGGAAGAGGGGCAGAGCCUCAAGGACGAGAUGGCCCGCCACUUGCAGGAGUACCAGGACCUGCUCAAUGUCAAGCUGGCCCUGGACAUCGAGAUCGCCACCUACAGGAAGCUGCUAGAGGGCGAGGAGAACCGGAUCACCAUUCCCGUGCAGACCUUCUCCAACCUGCAGAUUCGAGAAACCAGCCUGGACA